rnacentral:rRNA from 1 species
UACAGAGGUAGCAAGCGUUGUUCGGAAUCACUGGGCGUAAAGCGGGUGUAGGUGGCUUGGCAAGUCGGAUGUGAAAGCCCCGGGCUCAACCCGGGAAGUGCAUCUGAUACUACUUAGCUUGAGUACUGGAGAGGAUAGUAGAAUUCCUGGUGUAGUGGUGAAAUACGUAGAUAUCAGGAGGAACACCGGCGGUGAAGACGGCUAUCUGGCCAUGUACUGACACUCAGACCCGAAAGCGUGGGUAGCAAACAGG